rnacentral:rRNA from 1 species
UACAGAGGGUGCGAGCGUUAAUCGGAAUUAUUGGGCGUAAAGGGUGCGUAGGCGGAUUUACAAGUGAUAUGUGAAAUACCUGGGCUUAACCUGGGGAGGUCAUGUCAGACUGUGAGUCUAGAAUGUGGUAGAGGAAGGUGGAAUUUCUGGUGUAGCGGUGAAAUGCGUAGAUAUCAGAAAGAACAUCAAUGGCGAAGGCAACCUUCUGGGCCAUUAUUGACGCUGAGGCACGGAAAGCGUGGGGAGCGAACAGG